AACUCUCAGCCACCCUCCGAUCUCAGUCUUAAAAUGUAUUAAGGUUUACAGACAAGAUCUGUCUAAUAAGAGCUGCCUCAGGGUUUGGGUUUUUACUAGGUUAGCAAGUUUAGCAAGUUUGUUUCCUUAGAGGAAACACGUGUGCUCUCUCCUUGUCAUCUCAGAGCGUGGAAGGGGAACAUCACGAGAAAGCUGUAGAACUUCUCAAGGCUGCUAAGGACAGUGUGAAGCUGGUCGUCAGAUACACCCCAAAAGUCCUGGAGGAGAUGGAGGCUCGUUUUGAAAAGCUGAGGACAGCUCGGCGUCGGCAACAGCAACAGUUGCUUAUUCAGCAGCAGCAGCAGCAGCAGCAGCCACAACAAAACCACAUGUCAUAGGCCCUUGAAGAAAAGCUAGCAGGUCAAUCAUCCAACAGUCACAAAUUUGGAACCCGUGCUCCGGAAUCCCAGCACAUAGAAAAAGGAAAAGAAAACACCAGUAAACACCUGUCACAAAACUGUGAACACAUGGUGUAUCCAUCCUUUACCAAGACAAUUCGACAUCUUCCUCCUCUGGGCACCAGCCCCCGUUCAUUGCUUUUUUACCUACUCAGACCUUCCAUUCAUGGCAGUGGAAAUGCAGUGUGUUGAGGGAGAGAAGUAUUCCAGUCUGCAGACUGAAAGAGUGUAAGAAUAAAGUCUGUGACUUUUGAACAAAUCACCUGGGCUAGGAUUAAGUGAAUCUUUGGUCAAGGCUCUUCCAGAGAUUAGCAAACCCUUCAUUAGGCUAUAGUUCAAACUGCAUCAGUUCAAGGUUGUGGCCACUUGAAAGGAACCUCAUAUCGACCUCUGCCCUAACCCUUUCCACAGUCUAUGUUGCUGAGCUGUCUGAAUUGGAAUUUGAUUCAGUUACAAACUCAACCUCCAUUCUCCUCUUGAAAAUGCCAAGUUCUUAUUCUAUAUAAUCUGUUCUGAACUUGGAAACAGUUGGCUUUUUAGUUUUCAUUCCUACCAAUAUCCAAACACAUCAACUGAAGUUUUUUAUUUUAGAAUAUUUUAGCUGAACUUUUAAUUUAUUAGAAGUGCAGGUUGGAACUUAAUGCUGUCCUUUUUUAGAAAGUUAAGUAUUGCCUGUAUCUAUUAUUAGUUUAGACAGACUACAAUGUAUAUUUGUUCCAAAAUAUAUAUAUAAGACCAGAGUACACUGGUUAUAACUUGGUUCUUUGUUUGCCAAGGGUCACUACUCUGGUAAGAGAUUCUCUAGACUUUAUGGAUUCCUUCUCAUUUGAUAUAUGUAAGCUGCCCUCAAUAUUUUCUUGUUAAAUUUUAUUUAUUCAUUUCCACUGAUGAACUUUGGAGAAGUCUAAACCCAUCCUGCACACAUUGAUGUACUUUCAUAGAAAUCUAUUUGAUAUUUUAAAUCUUGGAGAUUUAUAAUACUGAACUAUAACAUGUGCACAUAGAUAUACAUCAAAAGGGAUAUCUCACACAAAGUUUAGAUCGGUAACCCUAAAUACAAAUUUUAUUUUUUUGGCAGUCUAAGAUCAAAGGUACUGGCCCUUUUAUAUUGACAUAUGUGGAACCCAGUGAUACCAAUAUUGUAAAUGACAGAUACUGCUUUCUCCAAGGGAAAAUCGAUUUCAAUUUGCAUAUUCCCACUUGUAAAUAAGCAAUCAGAUUUGUUCAGCUUUCAUAAAGAUCUGUUAGCACCUCCUGUACACACAAUUUUUUUUUAAAUUUUGAGUAAAUCUAGACACAUAAUCUGGUUUUCCAUAAUGUAAUGAAUAGACACUUAAACACCUUAAGCACAAAAAUGUACACAGACACACACAGACACACACACCCAAAAGAAUAACUGCCUAGUUAAAGCAAGCAGAUGGGUCAUCAAAACAGAGUCCACUAGUUUAAUAUGUCCAUUCUUUUUUGCAAAAGCAGAAAAUGGUUCCCCAAGCUACAAAGAAUUUGGUAUUUCAGAUAGUCCUCUAGCAUAGAAAUUUGUGAAGUUCAGCUUACAAGCCAUCUUCCUGAAACUAAACAAAACCAAUUAGACAUACCCAGCAUGUUUUGUCUCGCACCAUCGGGUGGUACUACUGUCAAGAGCAAUGUCUUACUGCUUUAGAUAGUGCAUUGCCCACCGGAUGACAAACAGCCAGAAAACCAAGAGCUACACCAAUUUAUUUCAACCCUAUCCUGUUAUGGUAACAGAUUCCCAUCCUCAAAAAUAUAUCCUUUUUUUUUUUACUAGAGAAAGGUUGGGGGGAGGGGUCAGUGAGGAGCCAGAAUGUUAUAUAAAAUAGGCCAAUAAAAGGGACAAGCAUGACAAAAAGAAAUAAGUGCAGAUUAUAAGUAUUAUUCAGUUUGAAAGAUAGUUCUCAUUUUUAUAAAAAAUGUAAUAAACAUAUAUUUUAGUUAUCAUUUAAGAAAGAAAUAUUAAAGCUAUUCAGGAGAUGCCACAAAACUCUCAUAAAAGGAAAUCAUCUCACCCUUAUAAUGAGAAAAUGGUCAUUUCAACGAGUUUCAGUACAUUGUAUAAAUUUGGAGCUUAAGACGAUUAUGUUUUCCCUUAGCUGUUACGUGUUUAGUUAAUACCAAACUUAAUAUAUGGUUUCACAUCAGUACAAGUAUUGUCAGAAGCCACUAUGAAAUAAGCAGGUACUUUUUAAGCUGGUGUUUUCUAGAAGUCUUUGAAUUUUAUGCUUCAUCUGUACAACGUGUAGCGCUGAUAAAUGUAUGCCAGGUUGUUUGUCGAAAUGAAGCAAUCCAUCAUAUGUACAGAAGCCAAGGGAUAGGUUAUACGUCUUCACGGUCUUACAUACAAAUGGCUGGUUCUCUUUAGCGAAGUUUAUCUCAUUAAAAUGUAAGCAUUUCCCUGGAAUUUUAAUCAAAAGUGACACCCCCAAAGACUUACAGAAGCCGCUGGUGCAUCUCUGAAGUUUCACUGAAGCAAAAUUGAAAAGGAAGAACAAAUCCACCAUGAUUUGUACUGAACUUCUCUAUUCCCAAGAAUCACAAACAAAGCCUCUCACAUGGCUGAUGUCAUCCAUUAAAAGAAAAGGCAUCGUACGUAGACUGGACUUCCAUGCAGUUCAAUAUAAAUAUAAUAAAUGGGGUGUUAAAAGUUAGGAAGAAAUGGUUGUGACAGGAACCUGAUGGAGUGAAUCUCAGCUCCCUCCCUUGGUCAAGUGCAAGUAACUCUCUCUGCACCUUUUCCCUGCUAUGAUACUAAGGCAAGCACAAAAGGUAAAAGAAAUCCUGAACCUUUUCACUGGAGCAUUUACAUUUUGAUUCUGCAGUCAUUUGCAACAGAACAUCUGCAGGGAGAUAAUGAGCUUAAAUUACAAUUGACUUUGGAAGAAUAACAGACUCUUGUGUUCCUCAAUCUUGUAAUCAAUAGGGAAUUCUCUAGCAAUGAGAGAGCCACCGCUAUCUUUCAAGACAAUGCUAAGAUCUAAGUAAAAAAAAAGUCUAGCAUUCAGGGGUUUGUUAAGAAUGGGAGUUUGUCACUAAAAAACUUGGCUAGAGACAAAUUAUACCUAUUUACAAAUGUGGUUCUCAAACAUGGCAUCAAGGAUCUUAUUUCCUUUUACCUAGCUGUACAUUCAGGACUCUAAAUGUGGUACACUGCUUUCAACAUCUAUUACUAUUUGUGGGUGUGGGAAUGAGUCCCUGGAUUUCUUACCUUUUAGCUGGGCUUUGCUUGUAAGCACUCCUAUUCUAUACUUAAGCUUCAAACAAGAUGUCGACACAGACACAGAGUAUUCUCCGAGGUUUCUGGGACCCCUAUGAGUAAGACCUUCCAGGGCAUCCUAUCCUUCUUUAAACCCAAACACUAUAAGACCAAGUAAUGUGACUCUGGUCCUGCAGACGUGCUGGCACUCUCCAGGCACUCAGUGAAUAUUUGUUGAAUGAAUGAAUUACUGAAGAGGAUGGUAAAUGAAUUAAUUUUGACUUCUGACUAACAUAUAUUGGCAUUAUAAUUUUAUAAUUUUGCAUGUCAUAGCCAGAGCCAGAAUUUCCUCUAAGAUACAUCCUGGAAUCAAAUUAAAUUAAAUAUCUCAAAGAUUCAAGGACCUUUAAGUCAGAAGCAAUGCUUGGGAAAUAUACAUAUAUAUAUAUAUAUAUAUAUAUAUAUAUAUUCUGAACUUUAUAUAUAAUGAGUAAAACUCUCUAGUUCUUUACAAAAGCACAUGGAUAAUUUGGCAUGCAGGCUUCAAAAUAGAACUUUAUUUCUAAAGUUUACAGAACACUAUGCUUUAGGCUUUUUUAAACAGUUAUAUCAUCAAACAUAUAUUACCCUAUGACACGUGUAUUUUUCAAAGGAUCCAUGGUCAUUGAAAGCGCCAUUUCUAAACUUCUGCUUCCAAAUGCCCCCUCUUUCAUCAUUGACUCCUAGAAUAUACCUGAGCUAAAAAUUACUCACUUGUCACCUCCCUCCCAAACUUUUCCGUGUAUUUAUUUAUUUAACAAAUAUGUCUGUGUUCCUGGCACAUGCUAGAUUCUAGAAAUGCGAUGCGAAACAAGUCAAAUGUAAUCCAAUCCUAAAGUAUACUAUGAGGAACUCUUACUCUGGCUAACUAGUUUAUCGUUGACUGGGUUCUCAUCACACAUGCUCGAGCAACAGCAGCAACAAGAAGCCCUCACUGCAGCAUGGGAACCAUUCAAUACUUCCCACGUAGACUUAUGUGAGCUUGCCUUUCUGAACAUAACCCCUCAAAUUUACCCCGUAGUUUAGCCAUAAAGCAGAGUUACAGCCCAGGGAAGUAGGCUAUUUUAAAAUUUCAUCAGUAUCUACCAGGUUUCAGCUUCAGAGCUUUUCCCACCCAAGCUCUAUUAACAGGGCUCCAUUUAUACACAGAAGAACUGAAGCACAGAUCCAUGACUUUUCCAAGGUCAUCCGGUUAGCUGGUGGAGUUGGGGGUUUGAACCCAAGAAGUCCAACACAGUGGUCCAUGUGCCUAAGGAUUAUCCAUAGGCUUUGGGGAGUCACUCCUGUAUUAAAGCGAAUGAAUCAUUGUAUAUAGAAAUAUCUUGAGUUUGUAGUGAGUAAAAAAAAUAUUAGUAAAUUAUAUUUCAUUAUAGCCAACAAAUCACAUCAGAAACUAUGUGAUCAGGACUAUACCUGAGUCUUACAUGAUGGCCUCAUGAGCUACAAUACAUCAAGCCAGGGACAUGCAUACAAGUUCAGAUCCAGAAAAUUUCUACUUGUGAAAAUGUUUCGAUGACUUCAGAAUUAUUCAUUGUCAGCCACUGUGUCUAUUUGGUGCUACAAACAAAAAAAAAAUGAAAGAACAAACCCCUGAUCCAAGGGCUUAUAAAUACACAGUGUGGAGAUGAACCAAGGGCAUUUCAUAUUUAUAGGGAAGGAUUGGCCAACUGUUCCAUUUCUCACCAUUGCAUGUACAUUGUGUCUUUCCAAUUGUUUGCGUUGUUUUUAUGAAAGAGCUGCAAAAUUGUGCAGUGGUUCAACAUGACCAAAGUGGUAUUAUGCUGCUGGGAAGUAAACGUAUUAGAUACCA
rnacentral:sRNA from 1 species